GGCUUAACACAUGCAAGUCGAGCGGGGGAAGGUAGCUUGCUACUGGACCUAGCGGCGGACGGGUGAGUAAUGCUUAGGAAUCUGCCUAUUAGUGGGGGACAACAUCUCGAAAGGGAUGCUAAUACCGCAUACGUCCUACGGGAGAAAGCAGGGGAUCUUCGGACCUUGCGCUAAUAGAUGAGCCUAAGUCGGAUUAGCUAGUUGGUGGGGUAAAGGCCUACCAAGGCGACGAUCUGUAGCGGGUCUGAGAGGAUGAUCCGCCACACUGGGACUGAGACACGGCCCAGACUCCUACGGGAGGCAGCAGUGGGGAAUAUUGGACAAUGGGGGGAACCCUGAUCCAGCCAUGCCGCGUGUGUGAAGAAGGCCUUAUGGUUGUAAAGCACUUUAAGCGAGGAGGAGGCUACUCUAGUUAAUACCUAGGGAUAGUGGACGUUACUCGCAGAAUAAGCACCGGCUAACUCUGUGCCAGCAGCCGCGGUAAUACAGAGGGUGCGAGCGUUAAUCGGAUUUACUGGGCGUAAAGCGUGCGUAGGCGGCUUAUUAAGUCGGAUGUGAAAUCCCCGAGCUUAACUUGGGAAUUGCAUUCGAUACUGGUGAGCUAGAGUAUGGGAGAGGAUGGUAGAAUUCCAGGUGUAGCGGUGAAAUGCGUAGAGAUCUGGAGGAAUACCGAUGGCGAAGGCAGCCAUCUGGCCUAAUACUGACGCUGAGGUACGAAAGCAUGGGGAGCAAACAGGAUUAGAUACCCUGGUAGUCCAUGCCGUAAACGAUGUCUACUAGCCGUUGGGGCCUUUGAGGCUUUAGUGGCGCAGCUAACGCGAUAAGUAGACCGCCUGGGGA
rnacentral:rRNA from 1 species